rnacentral:snoRNA from 1 species
AUUGUGGGUUUGCACCUUUGUGGAGCACGAUGUUUCAUUGCACCAACGGCGGAAUUGCCCGUGGGAGA